ensembl:misc_RNA
AAGGAGAAGCGCUGGGAACCCGGGUUGGAGUGCGUUUCGGGGCACGUGGAAAAGCCCGGGAGAGGCAGGGGGUAGCGGCGACGGCGCAACCUGGAACCGCCUGGAGCGCGGGCGGGCAGCGGCCGGUUGCCGCCAGGCCUCUUAUUCCAGGCUGGCCGCGGAUGGGGCCCGCAGCUCUAGCGAAGCGACAACCAAGGUAGCCGCAGUUUUACAAAGAAACAGAACGUUUU